UUUUGUCCUUUUUAUCUUCGUCUCCUCUUCCUUCUUCUUCUGCAUCGUUUCUACACAGCUUCUCCUCCUCUUCACCCUCCUUUUUCCUGAGCAGGGUGAACAUGGAUGUAUGAAGGAGUGAGAAAGCCCCUGGUGGGGGCAGAACCUUCAGCGUUUGCUUUGUACACCGUCUGCUCCACUCUGGGCGUCUCCUUCCAUGUGAAGGAUGAGUGUGGCCAAGCAGACGUGACCCAUGUCCCUGGAGCUGAAUGGAGCCUUGGACGGCCUGAAAUUUACUAUAUAGACCCGGCUAACAUUGAACUCACAGACACCGUCCAGAUCCCAACUCCAAGUGCUGGAGUUAAAGGCAAGCACCACCACCCCCAGAUAUACUUGGUGUUGUACGGGUGAUUUGCCUGCAUUGAUGUCUGUGUAUCAUGUGCAAGCCUGGUGCCUAUGGAUGUCAGAAGAGAUCAGAUCUCCCAGAACUGGAGUUAUGGAUGAUGAUGAACUGUCGUAUGGCCACUACUACAUGUCAUAUGGUCACUGUUGAAGGAUCUGAGGAGUUUAGUUCAGUGCCUGGCAAGCAAUGAAUGGCUAAAGGACAUUCUCUACGCAUGGAAUCGAAACAGGUAUGAUCACAAAUCCUUCCAAGCCGGGAAGACCAGUGGGAAGAGAACAAAGCCCAGGUUGGAUGUCAUCACAGAGCAGAUGCACCUGGCUUGGGCUGCCUACCUGCCCUUUGUGUUGGGGGACACACAGACGGUUGCGGUCCCUGUUGUUUGGGUUUCCCAGGCCUUUGCGUGGACUCCUCACUAAGGAACUUGCACGUAGCCCAAAGCUUUACACCGCUGUGUCCAUGAACACGGGUCCCCACUCUGCUCUGCUGGGUCUCUGCUCCUUGCAGAUGGGGCUCUAGGCUUGCUCAUUUCUAUAGCACUGGCAUACAGUGGGUCUCCCACAGAUGUUUGACGAGUGAGUAUCGGUGUCAUCUGAGAUACGCUAUGACCGGUGAGACUGUCACCGCUGCUGUUGAACAUCUCCAGGUGCCGGUGUGACCGUCUUGCCAGGAAUGAAGAAAUCCAGGAGACAUCAUGACCCCCCCCCCUUUGGCUACCUGGCAGCUUUAGAAUUCUCACAAUUAGACGUUCCUCGGGGACUCAUGCUGACUGGACUCAUGGUGCCAGCCAGAGGGAGAGUUUGUCUCCCAGGAAGAGAUCUCAGAAUUCUGACAACUUGUCUGACUAGACUCUCCCCUGAGAGACUGGAGCUAAGGCAGUGAUGGGCAGGACCAGGCCGUGGCCAGAACUGCUUAAUUAUGGAUGCAUCCUUGGCGAGGAGUAUUAUCUGUGCACGUCCCUUUCUGCACUUCACUAUUAUGGCCGGUCCCAGUGUGUUCACACUGCCAGGGUCCAGGAUGUGGCCCUAACAGUCUGGUGAUGUUGGGUUUCAUCAGAGAAUGGUGUGAUAUGCUUCAAACUGGGUGCUUGUGUAGAGGUAAAGUCAUGAUCUACGAGCAGACUGUAGGUCCUUCAUUUCUGCAUGCAUCAUAAUGACAAGCAAAGCCUUUAAAUAGACAGACAAACUAGAGCUUUUCUGUCAAUAACAAUGUAGCUUUACUGAAAUAGAAUUAGCCUCAAUGAGAGAGGAGUGGGGUGGUAGAAAGGACCCAGCAAAGGGUGAUGGGAUGGAUGGUUUUUCUCCCUGACUCCUCGGGACUGUCUUUCCUCAUCUGCCUCCUCCGUUGCCCGUGGCAGUUUCCAUUUCCUUCAGCCUGGCUGGCUACUGAGCCAAUUACCCAAAGCCUUUCUGUCGUCUGCGUCAGCUCUCCUCGUUCCUUCACAGUUUCUGCGUUGCAUAAGCAUUUUAAUGCUUACACAACAACCUUAGGUCUGUUGGGGGUCUUUGAACCUCAGAAGAUUGUAAUAUAUUGGCUUCAAUACUCACCUGUGGAAAGCCUGAUACCUUCUUUUGAGAUUUCUUCUGAUUCCCAGCAGACUUUCCUCUGGCUGGGGAAAGCGAUGGAGGUGGGGAGGAUACAACAUGGACAGGACACUCCCAGCUUCUACUUCCUUCUAAGAAGAGUCUGAUUUCUCACCAUUUGUGUGCUAAGCCCUUCCCAAUAUUGUGUUCACAGGAUCAAGGGCAGCAGGACCUCAUUCAUCUCUCAUUGCCAAUUAGACAGUUUGUAUCACUCAAUAUUCAUAACAUGUUAGCACUUCCACACAGCCCAUAAACACGGCCUUAGUGAGUAGUAUGUCCUAGCAUUUAUUCUGUGCUGGGCUUUGUCAGGCAAAGGAUACUUGAGUGACUUACUGUAGUAGUGAUGGAGACAGAAGGUGGAACUGGAGAGCCAUAGUCGGUAUCCCUAUAGAGUACUGGCAGGUGCUGUGGUCCUGUGUGAAGGGCCACAGGAGCAGGGACACACUGUGUGCUAUGCAGGCACAAGGUUCUGAAAGGAUCCGUGUGGUGUUGCUUCUUAUGCUAAUGAACAGAGAUCUCUCCUUCACAAGGCCUUCCUCUGUCAUGGAGGCCCAGCCAGAAGUUCCCCUAAUUCCAUCCGCACUGGAAACAAGCCACUUGUGCAUCUGCACUAGGAAAUGUCAGCCACUUGGGUUGAAGAGAAGCUGAUGAUGUCCCCAUGUGGUCCCAGGAAGGGAAUGCCACUGUCUUGAGGGUUAAAGUUCACUCUGUUACACAGGUGAGUAAUCUGCAGCAGACCUCAUUCCUUUUCAUAACUUCCCCCUGGAUUUUACAUAUUAGCAAAUGGCUAGUUUUUUUCUGCUAUAGGUCUGCUUGUGUGUGUGUGUAAAGGUGGGCUUUAUCGCCAUCUAGUGGCAUCUUUUAUCCUUGUGGUUUCUUGAGUAUAAAAAUACUAAAUGUUACCAUUAA